CCUACGGGUGGCAGCAGUCGAGAAUCAUUCACAAUGGGGGAAACCCUGAUGGUGCGACGCCGCGUGGGGGAAUGAAGGUCUUCGGAUUGUAAACCCCUGUCUUGUGGGAGCAAAUUAAAAAGAUAGUACCACAAGAGGAAGAGACGGCUAACUCUGUGCCAGCAGCCGCGGUAAUACAGAGGUCUCAAGCGUUGUUCGGAAUCACUGGGCGUAAGGCGUGCGUAGGCUGUUUCGUAAGUCGUGUGUGAAAGGCGCGGGCUCAACCCGCGGACGGCACAUGAUACUGCGAGACUAGAGUAAUGGAGGGGGAACCGGAAUUCUCGGUGUAGCAGUGAAAUGCGUAGAUAUCGAGAGGAACACUCGUGGCGAAGGCGGGUUCCUGGACAUUAACUGACGCUGAGGCACGAAGGCCAGGGGAGCGAAAGGGAUUAGAUACCCGGGUAGUC
rnacentral:rRNA from 1 species